CACUGAGAGUUACAGGCCUCCAGGGGAGGGAGCUGGCUUUCUAGACUCGGGGUGGGGUGGGGCUUCUGGGAAGUCUUCUUGGAAGCAGUGGCUUCUGGGAUAGGAGUUGAAGGACAGGUAGGCGGGGCGGGAAGAAUAUUCUAGGUGAAGGAAAUGGUGUGGCCCAAAGUAUUUGGGUGAGGAGACAUGGGAGAGUCAACUGGGGGCGGACUUCUGAGCAAGUAGGACUGCGCUGAAUACCCACAGACAUGAGGGGACAUCGAAGAGACAAGCUCGUGUGCCAGGCCUCGUGAGAAGUCUGGGACUUGAUUGGUGGGGCCCUAGGGAAUCAUUGAGGGCUGUUGAGCAGUCCAGCACAGCCAUUCCAGAAUCCUGGAGAAGUUGGCACAGUCCUUUGGCCCACAGGACUUUCUCCCUGGGGAUUUUAAACAGGUCUUCAGAGAGUCUGCUAUGUCUCAUCCCCCAGGAAUUCUAGAAGAUUCCACUCAAGGCAGACGCUGAAGGAAUUUAUGCAGGGCAUCCUGGAGCAAGGGCAGUGUGCUGCAGCAGAAGCAGCAGGGGGCUGGGGGCCCUUCAGACUUUCUGGCUGACUUCUGGCUCGACUCCUAGCUGUCUGACCUUGAGCAAGUCUUCACCCCUCUGGGUUUGUGAAAUGGGAAUUACAACG